AGCCAUGCAGUGAACACAAAGCGAACUAUUCUUUCGCCUUUUACUAAAGAAUACCGUGUGUUCGCUGAAUUCAGUGGCAUACGUUUAUUUUUGGAGGGAGUUCCUGUACGUUUAU
rnacentral:snRNA from 1 species